CAGCCGCCGCGGGAAUACGAAGGGUGCAAGCGUUAAUCGGAAUUACUGGGCGUAAAGCAUGCGUAGGCGGUGAGUUAAGUCUGCUGUGAAAUCCCCGGGCUCAACCUGGGAAUGGCAGUGGAUACUGGCUCGCUAGAGUGUGUCAGAGGAUGGUGGAAUUCCCGGUGUAGCGGUGAAAUGCGUAGAGAUCGGGAGGAACAUCAGUGGCGAAGGCGGCCAUCUGGGACAACACUGACGCUGAGGCACGAAAGCGUGGGGAGCAAACAGGAUUAGAUACCCCGGUAGUCCCUGUCUCUUAUAC
rnacentral:rRNA from 1 species